UACGGAGGGUGCGAGCGUUAAUCGGAAUUACUGGGCGUAAAGCGCAUGCAGGCGGCCUGUUAAGUCAGAUGUGAAAGCCCGGGGCUUAACCUCGGAAUUGCAUUUUGAAACUGGCAGGCUAGAGUCUUGUAGAGGGGGUAGAAUUUCAGGUGUAGCGGUGAAAAUGCGUAGAGAUCUGAAGGAAUACCAGUGGCGAAGGCCGGCCCCCUGGACAAAGACUGACGCUCAGAUGCGAAAGCGUGGGGAGCAAAACAGGAUUAGACUACCCUGGUAG
rnacentral:rRNA from 1 species